UGGGGAAUAUUGCACAAUGGGGGAAACCCUGAUGCAGCGACGCCGCGUGAGCGAUGAAGGCUUUCGAGUCGUAAAGCUCUGUCCUAUGGGAAGAAAAAAAUGACGGUACCUACAGAAGAAGCAACGGCUAAAUACGUGCCAGCAGCCGCGGUAAUACGUAUGUUGCGAGCGUUAUCCGGAAUUAUUGGGCUUAAAGGGCAUCUAGGCGGUAAGACAAGUUGAAGGUGAAAACCUGUGGCUCAACCAUAGGCUUGCCUACAAAACUGUUGAACUAGAGUACUGGAAAGGUGGGUGGAACUACACGAGUAGAGGUGAAAUUCGUAGAUAUGUGUAGGAAUGCCGAUGAUGAAGAUAACUCACUGGACAGAAACUGACGCUGAAGUGCGAAAGCUAGGGGAGCAAACAGG
rnacentral:rRNA from 1 species